GGCACGGUGGUGCAGUGGUUAGCACUGUCGCCUCACAGGUUGUGGGUCAUGGGUUCGAUUCCGGCCUGGGCCU